rnacentral:tRNA from 1 species
GUUCUUAAUAAUUUACAUAAAAUAUCUACUUUGGAUGUAGAAAAUUCUAAAAUCA